UACAGCCAUAUCACAUUGUAACACUGGUUCCCAUAUAAUCACCGAAGUUAAGCAAAGUUGAGCCUGGUCAGUAGCUAGAUGGGUGACAGCUUGGGAAUAACAGGUGCUGUAAG